rnacentral:rRNA from 1 species
UACGGAGGGUGCAAGCGUUAUCCGGAUUUACUGGGUUUAAAGGGUGCGUAGGCGGGUUUAUAAGUCAGUGGUGAAAGCCGAUCGCUUAACGAUCGAACUGCCAUUGAUACUGUAGACCUAGAGUAUAGAUGAUGUUGGCGGAAUAUGACAUGUAGCGGUGAAAUGCAUAGAUAUGUCAUAGAACACCGAUUGCGAAGGCAGCUGACAAAACUAUAACUGACGCUGAUGCACGAAAGUGCGGGGAUCAAACAGG